CUCAGAACGAACGCUGGCGGCAGGCUUAACACAUGCAAGUCGAGCGCCCCGCAAGGGGAGCGGCAGACGGGUGAGUAACGCGUGGGAAUCUACCUUUUGCUACGGAACAACAGUUGGAAACGACUGCUAAUACCGUAUGUGCCCUUCGGGGGAAAGAUUUAUCGGCAAAGGAUGAGCCCGCGUUGGAUUAGCUAGUUGGUGAGGUAAAGGCUCACCAAGGCGACGAUCCAUAGCUGGUCUGAGAGGAUGAUCAGCCACACUGGGACUGAGACACGGCCCAGACUCCUACGGGAGGCAGCAGUGGGGAAUAUUGGACAAUGGGCGCAAGCCUGAUCCAGCCAUGCCGCGUGAGUGAUGAAGGCCCUAGGGUUGUAAAGCUCUUUCACCGGUGAAGAUAAUGACGGUAACCGGAGAAGAAGCCCCGGCUAACUUCGUGCCAGCAGCCGCGGUAAUACGAAGGGGGCUAGCGUUGUUCGGAUUUACUGGGCGUAAAGCGCACGUAGGCGGAUUUUUAAGUCAGGGGUGAAAUCCCGGGGCUCAACCCCGGAACUGCCUUUGAUACUGGAAGUCUUGAGUAUGGUAGAGGUGAGUGGAAUUCCGAGUGUAGAGGUGAAAUUCGUAGAUAUUCGGAGGAACACCAGUGGCGAAGGCGGCUCACUGGACCAUUAC
rnacentral:rRNA from 1 species